GCAUAGUGAUGAUGAUUUAAACAUGUCCGAUCAAUUUAUGACUGGAAUAUCAACCUCCUACUCAUACUGA